rnacentral:rRNA from 1 species
AACGCGAAGAACCUUACCAGGUCUUGACAUCCCUCUGAAUCUGUUAGAGAUAGCAGCGGCCUUCGGGACAGAGGAGACAGGUGGUGCAUGGUUGUCGUCAGCUCGUGUCGUGAGAUGUUGGGUUAAGUCCCGCAACGAGCGCAACCCUUAACUUUAGUUGCCAGCAGGUCAAGCUGGGCACUCUAGAGUGACUGCCGGUGACAAACCGGAGGAAGGUGGGGAUGACGUCAAAUCAUCAUGCCCCUUAUGACCUGGGCUACACACGUACUACAAUGGUCGGUACAACGGGCUGCGAAACCGCGAGGUGGAGCCAAUCCCAACAAAGCCGAUCUCAGUUCGGAUUGCAGGCUGCAACUCGCCUGCAUGAAGUCGGAAUUGCUAGUAAUCGCGGAUCAGCAUGCCGCGGUGAAUACGUUCCCGGGCCUUGUACACACCGGAGUGC